UUCUCUAAUUCUCCUCUCAGUAACCCUAAACUAUUCUCUUCAACUUAAAUCCUUGGUUACCUGCCUGCCGCCAUUGGACAAAUUUCACAAAGUAUUUCAAUUUUAGGAGAGGGAUAUGAGGCUAAAAAUCAUCAUGUUCCUAUCCUCAGUGCUUUUUCUCUAACAAAUGCAACAAUGAUGUUUUCGUGAAAAAGGAACGUGAUUCAAAUGAUUAAGCUACAAUCAAAUAUUUCAUAUUCCUUGGCUUCUUGAAUCAAAUGACGAUGAUGGAGAAAGUGAAUUCAAGGGAAAUUGCAGGAAUUAUAUUUGGGAUCUUUUUCAUAUGAAAGAGGAUUUCAAAGUAAUUGAUAGAAUGACAUAUGGCUUCAGGUAAUUACAUUAGUGUUCCCACUUUUUUCAAAUUGCUUUGCUAAUUUCUUGAUUUUUCGUCUUAAUAACAUAUUUAGGAUGAUUUUGAAUGAGUAGCUUUAUUAUUAUAGCAACAAAUAGACCACCAGUUCCUCAUAUGUAAUGAUAUUAGUAAUUACUUAUUGUGUUACAUUUCUGAUAUAUAUAAUUUGAUGCUUUAUUUUGUGUUAUUGGUACUAUGCUUGAUGAGGAUGUACCACAGUAUCUUUUGUUUUUGAGGAAUGAUGGAAUGUUUUCUCAUAGGAUCAUUGACCUACAGAUGUUGAUAUAAGUUUUGUAUUUCUACAUCAUUUUAUUCUAUUUAUUUAUUUCAAGUUGAAUCAUUUUCAAAGCUUCACAUUUAGUCACUUUUUUCAAAUAUGAGCGGCAGAGGUUCACCCAGCCACGUCUUCCCUAGGUUCCUCAGCCACCAGGCAUCUUCACUUCGCAUCCCUUCUUCUUCUUCUUCUUCCUUCAUUUCCGGUAACACCACUUCUCAUCUCAUUCUAAUUGUUAUGUCUUUUCCAUUGUUAGCUUCAUUCAUUUUUCACUUUUCCAUUGCUGCAGAGCACGUUUCUUUUGUAAAAGAUUGGCUGAUUUCUGGCCUAAACUUAGUAUAUAUAGUUUUUGGUAAGUUCUUGGAGGUUCGUUUUGAUCAAAAUUGAAGAAUAUUUGGAGCUACUAUCAUAACAUAUUUGUUAGAGUAGUGAAAUUAACAGUGCUUUUAUAGCAUUGCGUUGCACCAUGAGAAAUGAAAGAAAAAAAGUUGGUGACCUCAGAUUUUUUGGUGAAUGUGACUUACCAUUUUUCUACAUACUGCUCUAUAUUUCUUCAUUCUUAAGAUUCUUUACAUAUUUUCUCAUGACUUUUCAUAUUUUCUUCACUUCAAAUUUUAUCUAUUUAUUAGUUGCAUUAUUACAUGUAUUUUUGUCAGUUUAGAUUCAUUAAUCAAACCAUUUUAAACAAGUGGUUGUUUGUGGUAAGACCUUAUUGUAAUAGGUUGAGCUACACCUUGGUUGGCAACAACAUGCUUUGAGAAUUAUGCGAGGCAAAUGCCAUUAAGUAAUUGCUUUCUCACCUAUAUUGGAACUUGCUGUUAGGGGGAACUUGGUAGGAAAACCAAUAUAGUUAUGAAUAAUGAUGUCCUCACAGUAUUUGUAGAUCGGUGCUCGACAAGUUUGUUGCUCAAGUGGUUUGUGUAUCAUCAUAUGUAGCAUUGGCAGCAUUUCACAAUGAAUGAUUUGAAUAAUACUGAUCUCGCGUCGCUGCUCCAACUCCAAAGUCAUCUAUAAAUAUUAAUAAGCCACACCGAUUUGAAUCUCUCUUGCCACGUGGUGUACUCAAGGUAACCAUGCCCUCACAAUGAUUUAGCCUUCAAUGCCAUAAUUAGGCCAAUUUUUAAAAGAAAAAAAAUACACUAAGAUGUUUUUCAAAUGCCUAAUCUCACUCAAUAGUUUGUCGGCAUUGGUGCUGCUUUUUUAAAACCCUAAGCAUAUCAUCAUCUCCCUCUUAGCACUAUCGUCAUUGAAUCAAAGUGCCGCCGGCCCAGGUACUAUCAUCCUACUUGCAUCCUCUCCAUUCUUGAUGUCGUUUCCUUGCGUUGAUUUCUUCAUCAAACCUUCAUGAUCCUAAGUUAGGGUCGUUGUUGUCCUUUCUCUGUCAAACGGUACAGCUGAGUGACUAUCAAUGAUUUUGUUUUCAUUUUUCUCUCAUAAUUGCUCUGUAUUUUCGUUUUUGUCAAGUAUCAAAGUAAAUCGAUUCUUGCCUUUGUUCUGAUUUUUUUAUUCUUCUAUUUGUUUGUAUUGAAUAUUGGUGAUGUUUCAGGACAGUUUCAUGUUGAAUAUUCCAGCACUAGAGUUAAUGUUUUGAUUGUUAGAGGCAGUUUAACAUUACAGUAAAUUGAAGAAAAUAAUCAAGCGUGUGUUUCAAUCUUUUAUUUUUUGCAUUGAUAAUUUUUUUUGGCCUUCUACUGCUGUGUUUAAGUGUCAAAGCUCAAUUCUCAUUCCACUUAUUUUUACUGCAUUCAGUUUAUAACAAAUAUUAUUUAAAUUUUCUCUUCCUUUAUUGUUUGCUAAUUACUUUAUUUUGCUCUUAUUUUUCAUUCUACAGUAGGCAGAGAACAACAAUUUGACGGUCAUCACUUUAGCA